UGGCCGAAGGGCGCUCUGACACCCUUGUCACAGAUGACACAGGGUGCCGCUCCGGCCCGCACGCUGCUCUGCACACGAGGCAUGACCGGGAGGGGGGCAUGCUAGACACCCCCAUACCCACGACAGCUGCCUGUCCCCAUGCAGACCUGCAGCGGUCCCAUCUGCACUCAGGUCACAGGCUGACCCCGCCUCCGUGGACACGGUUCCCCGUCACCUCUGCUGCCCCCACCCACCGUCCCCACAGUAGGUGGCAAUCACGGGGAUCUCGUGUAAUGGUCUCAAUAUGUCUCAUCGUCUCUCUCUUUCUGCAAACCUUCCCUUCACCAGGCUACUUGAAGAUAAGCUCCCACCCCCGGACAUCUACUCACCGGGUUGUUGUGGGGGUUUUCCUGCCUUUUUGGCCCUGCCAAACUGCAAGUGAGAAGACAAUCCCAUGAAGAAGCGUCCCUCUGCGGUCCCCACCGCACCCAGUCCCUUGCCACUCUGUGGCUCGCAGGCUGCUAGAGACAGAGACAGAGACAGAGACAGAGAGAGAG